rnacentral:rRNA from 1 species
UACAGGGGGCUCGAGCGUUAGUCGGAAUCACUGGGCUUAAAGGGUGCGUAGGCGGCUCGCCAAGUGCUUUGUGAAAUCCCACAGCUCAACUGUGGAACAGCAGGGCAAACUGUCGAGCUUGAGGCAGGUAGGGGCCGGAAGAACAGUUGGUGGAGCGGUGAAAUGCGUAGAUAUCAACUGGAAUGCCGAUGGGGAAGCCGUCCGGCUGGGCCUGUCCUGACGCUGAGGCACGAAAGCGUGGGGAGCAAACAGG